ACGUCGACAAAUUAAUUCGGACCAAUCAAAUUGUUUUAAUGUGCCAUGUCACUUAAGCAAAAGAAAAUCUAACCGAAUGAUGGUUUCCUUCCUCUCUUUUCGUUGUCUUUCCAGUUUCUCUCCAUCUCACUUUUUAGUUGUUCCAAGUUUUUAUUCCAUUAACUUCAUCCAUUAUUGCCUUCUUCAAAACAGAAAUCAUAGAUCUUUCUUCGACUUCCCAGUUUUCCCUCUAUACAACAGAUGCAAAAUGAAAUAAUAUCUAAGAAACUAUGCGUACCACUGAGAAUUACAGCAAAAGCUUGGCUUCAAUCUACAGAGAUGAGGCUUUUGCAAAAAUCUUUUUUUAUACAGUUUAUUUCGACAUUUUUGAUUGUUAGUGUCUUUUUUAUUUCCCUUGGAGUUGUCAUCUCAGAUUCCAUGUUGGGCCCGGCUUCCUAAAAUCUCAUCUCAGAUGCAUAGAUCGAACCCGACUCUUUCACUUCGUCGUCAGAGUCUCGGUUCUCUGUAAUAGCUGUUACAGCGACACCCUCCUUUCUAGCAUUAUAUAAACGCCUACUCCAAAUCUUUCCUCACGCACAAUCCUCAAUCUCCAAACAAGCACAACAGCUGAUGACGAUGAAAUUGGAGUUGAGAUCGCCAUGAGGGUGGUUAGAUUCGCCAAGGGCUUUAGCGCUGUGAGUCUGUGACAAUGUUGAGUUUAGUCCAGAAGUAAAUUUGAAGCUUCUGGUCCGGUUUAAGGUGUGAUGGUCCACUUUCUACAAUAGAAGAACGUCAAACUUUUUCCUUCUUUUGACCACUCUAUUUAUAGUUUGACCAUUCUAAUUAUAGUGUUUUCACUUUGUUGUAGAAUCUUCAGGUUGAUUAAGGAUUAGAUUCAAUAUAAUCAUUGUUUUAUUGAGAAUAAGAUUUACUUGGUAUAGAGUAUGUUCAAGCUCUGUUUUCUCGCAGCUCUACUAUUUCAUUGUUUAUUCUGCUACAACUGAGAUCAUGUGAAUAUGUUAUGUUCGCAGGUAUUCGCUUUGGGGAAAAAUUGCAAGUAGAGAUGAUGAAGCUUUUGCAUAUGUUCAUAACUUCAUCAAAACCAGUGAUUGAUAUUCUGCUGAUAACGACAAUUGGAUUUUAUAUCGCUCUUGAUGGAGUCAAUCUUCUUGGUCAUGGUGCUCACAAAUAUUUGAACAACGUUGGUUACUACUUAAUAUCACUCUUUUUGUUAAUAAAUCUAAUAUACCACUCAACUUUAGUUUAGUUUUUUCGGUAAAGACAAAGAAGGUCUACUUAGAGAUCCUGAGAAUUGCCACAAAUAUGGAAUGGGUUAUGUCUCACUCUGCAUGGCCGCUUACUAUGUUGGAAAAGGAAUCGUGAAUCGCUUGAGAAACAAGGGAUGAAUUGCUAUAACAAGCUUUUGCUCGUGUGUAGUCAUUUGGCUUCUGGUGAGAAAGGUGACAAGAUGAGAAGAAACACAGAUGUAGCUGAGAUUCUAUUUUAUACACCAUUCCCAAAAACACCUAAAUCCCUAAUUGUUGCGCACCCGAAAGAAUUGUUGAUCAAGACCGAGUGCUUUGGCUUGGAGAUUUAAAUUACAGAGUUCCUUUACCUAUGAAGAGACAUGGGUAUUACUAGAAGACAAUGAUUUGUGACACACUUCUUGAGAAAGACCAGUUAACCAAAUUUUGUGAUCUGUGAUAACUUCAGCUCAACAUGAAAAGAGGGCCAUGAAGAGUCUUCUCUCGAUUUCAAGAAGUUAAAUCAUAUUUGCUCCAACCUAUAAAAAGUCUCAAAACUCAGAUGCUUACGCCGGAGAAGCCACUAAGUCUAAGAAAAGAAAACAACUAUGUAGUUGUUAUAAAUGUGAUAAACACAAAGAUGAUUAUCCAUUAGACUAGUAUUAAAUUAUUUGAUUUCUCUUAGUCGGUAAGUCACAACAGACUUACUCCCCUUAUAUAUAUGACCAUUGUCAUUUGUUGUAAGAGA